GGCAUCUCCUGACAUGGCUUUCCCUGCUUCUUAAGGACUUGGCAGGGGAAGCAAAGAUUAAUGGGAGGAAUGAGAGAGAGAAUACUUUCAUGCAAAAUGUUUCUUUCCAUGCUUAAUUUCUCCUUUCAUUCUUUCCUAGGCAGAUAAAUAGCAGAGAGUGAUUACACGUAACUCUUCUCACCACGGAUUCCGGCAUUUGUGGGCAGCUGCAGAAGAGUAGGUGGGAGGAUCUCCCAGAUUAUGAGGCCAGUUUUUCUGUGGCUCAGAGAGUGCCAGUGACUCGCUCAAGAUAAAACAGCUUGUUAGUGGCAGGGAUGGAGCCCAGAAAUCCUGUUUCCUGUCCUCAGGAGUGUGUGUUCGAAAGAAGUUCUUGGCAAAGACAUGUUCACAGAUAGUAUUUUCCAGUCUGCCAGUGCCAUUGGGGAUUGCACUGUAGCAAACUAUUUCUGUGAGUUUCUGCUGAGAUCGACAAAUGAAGAAAUAUAGUGAAGACUUGGUGGAUACCCAGUUCUGCCAAACUAUCUAAAUCUUCUCAACAAGACAAGAACAUAAUGGAAAACAACAUGGAGCUUUGGAGCAUGGUGCUUGGUCCAACACCUUUGCUUCCAGGUGAAGCGCUGUCAAGAGAAAGAGGAUUUCAUGAAUUUGCUUUACUACUUACAGAACCAAGCACAGAGGACUCAGACAAAAGGUUUCUUUUCCACUUCUCGUAGCAGCUCUAGCCUUACUUUCUGUUCUAUGGUUGAAAAUGGCAGCAGCAGAUGAUGCAAGAAUCCUUGGCUACUGAGUGUUCUGGGCAAAGUAGAGCUUGCUACCCUCCAGACCCACGUGGGGCUGCUGGAC
rnacentral:lncRNA from 1 species